GUGGAGAAUCACAAAGAAGUUUGAGUAAAUAUCAUAGGAGUUAGGAUGAAGAAACUAUACCACUUUCAAAUCAAGUGAUCCCUGUUUUCCUAUUUGGGAAUAUGAAAACUUCUUCGUCAUUCUAAUUAGACCCGUAUGAAUGGAUAUGUAAGAAGCUUUUUUUUUUGAUACAUAAAGUAGUGGAGAAACACCAUAAAGUUGAAUAAAUCUCAUAUGAGUUAGGAUGAAGAAUUUAUCCCACUUUCAAAUCAAGUGAUCCCACUUUUCCUAUUUUGGAAGAUGACAACUUUUUCGUCAUUCUAAUCAAACCAAGAUGAACCGCGAUGUAAGAGGCCUGAUUUGGAUACAUAAGGUAGUGGAAAAUCACAAAGAAGUUGAGUAACUCUCAUAAGAGUUAGGAUGAAGAAACUAUCCCACUUUCAAAUCAGGUGAUCCCAGUUUUCCUGUUUGGGAAUAUGAAAAUUUCUUCGUCAUUCUAAUUAGCCCCGGAUGAACUGUGAUGUAAGAAGCUUUAUUUUGACACAUAAAGUAGUGGAGAAUCACCAAGAAGUUGAAUAAAUCUCAUAGUGGUUAGGAUGAAGAAGCUAUCCCACUUUCAAAUCAUGUGAUCCCAAUUUUCCUGUUUAGGAACAUGACAACUUUUCGUCAUUCUACUUAUCAAACCAGGAUAAACCGCGAUGUAAGAAUCUUGAUUUGGAUACAUAAAGUAGUGGAGAAUCCCAGGAAGUUGAAUAAAUCUUAUAGGAGUUAGGAUGAAGUAGCUAUCCCACUUCCAUAUCACGUGAUCCUAGGUUUCCUGUUUGGGAAUAUGACAACUUCUUCGUCAUUCUAAUCAAACCCGUAUGAAUCGCGAUGUAAGAAGCUUGUUUAGGAUACAUAAAGUAGCGGAGAAUCACCAGGAAGUUGAAUAAAUGUAAUAGGAGUUAGGAUGAAGAAGCUAUCCCACUUUCAAAUCAAGUGAUCCGAGUUUUCCUGUUUGGGAAUUUGACAAUUUCUUUGUCAUUCUAAUCAAACCAGGAUGAACCGCAAUAUCAGAAUCAUGAUUUGGAUACAUAAGGUAGUGGAGAAUCACUACGAAGUUGAUUAAAUCUCAUAGGAGUUAGGAUGAAGAAAAUUAUCCCACUUUCAAAUCAGGUGAUCCCAGUUUUCCUGUUUGGAAGUAUAACAACAAAACUAAUCAAACCAGGAUGAACCGUGAUGUAAGAAGCAUGAGUUGGAUACAUAGGGUAGUGGAGAAUCACCAGGAAGUUGACUAAAUCUCAUAGGGGUUAGGAUGAAGAAACUAUCUCACUUUCAAAUCAAGUGUUCCCAGUUUUCCUGUUUGAGAAUAUGAAAACUUCUUCGUUAUUCUAAUCAAACCCGUAUGAUUGGGUAUGUAAGAAGCUUUUUUUUUGAUACAUAAACUAGUGGACAAUCACCAGGAAGUUGAAUAAAUCUCAUAGGAGUUAGGAUGAAGAAUUUAUCCCACUUUCAAAUCAAGUGAUCCUAGUUUUCCUGUUUGAGAAUAUGACAACUUUUUCGUCAUUCUAAUCAAACCAAGAUGAACCGCGAUGUAAGAAUCUUUAUUUGGAUACAUAAGGUAGUGAAAAAUCACAAAGAAGUUGAGUAACUCUCAUAGAAGUUAGGAUGAAGAAACUAUCUCACUUUCAAAUCAAGUGAUCCCAGUUUUCCUGUUUUGGAAUAUGAAAACUUUUUUGUCAUUCUAAUCAAACCAGGAUGAACCGCAAUGUAAGAUGCAUCAUUUGGAUACAUAAGGUAGUGGAAAAUCACCAGGAAGUUGAAUAAAUCUCAUAGGAGUUAGGAUGAAGAAGCUAUUCCACUUUCUAAUCAGGUGAUCCUUGUUUUC
rnacentral:lncRNA from 1 species